GCUGGGUGAGGUGGCACAUACCUGUAAUCCCAGCAGCUUGGGAGGCUGAGGCAGGAGGAUCUCGAGUUCAAAGCCAGCCUCAGCCACUUAGCAAAGCCCUAAGUAACUCAGUGAGACCCUGUCUCUA
rnacentral:sRNA from 1 species